rnacentral:rRNA from 1 species
CUUUCUUGAAUUUAAUAAUUGAAUUUAUUUUUAUUUGUGAAGAAACAAUAAUUUAUAUUAAGGACAAGAAGACCCUAAGAAUUUUUGAAUUUAAAUAAGAAAGYUUUCUUAUUUAAAUUCUUAAUUGGGGCGAUUAAAAAAUAUUUUUAACUUUUUUUUUAAAAAAAAAUGACCCAUUAAUAAKGAUUUUUUGUAUUAAAUACUCUAGGGAUAACAGCGUAAUAAUUUUAGAUAGAUCUUAUAGAAAAAAUAGUUUGCGACC